rnacentral:lncRNA from 1 species
AGACAACUGCCUCAGAUACAGGGGACAUCACACAUUCUUUCCAUACCUGGAAAGAGGAAAAGAAAAGUUAGAAAACCCAACUGGAAGAGUGUUUUAGCUUUAAAUAGAGAACUAUAUAUAACGAGCAUAAUACAAGAAGCAGGAUUAUGCAACUUGUCAGUGACAAAUUAAAGUGAAUUGGAGGAAAAUUGGAAGAAGAAAAUCUCAGAAACUUGCAUUACCAAAAACCCAAAAGCUUAUUUCAAUUAAAUUGAAAGAUGCACAUAUAUAUAUAUAUAUGCCCAAAAAAGCCAUACCUGAAGAUGCCCAGAAAGAGAAAGUGUAUGCAAUAAGCUAUGGAAUUCAGUUGAAGAGUCUUACGUGGGGCAAGCAAACGCAUACCUUUGCCACUUGCGCAGAGAGAGAGAGAGAGAGAGAGAGAGAGAGAGAGAGAGUUGAAAUACACUGGAGUAAAUUAAGUAGAGUGAGAAAGGUUGUGUUAAAACCAGAACCAAAUUUGUUACGUUUUCUUCCAACUCAGUUCAUUUUUGAGGUGCAAUGAAACUUUCAUUGUCUCCUUUUUCCUAUAGAUAGAUGGGGAGGGAUUAACUUCCAUUUUCUGUUGGUGGUGUAUCAAGAUCAACUUUGUCAGGAAAAUGGGGCCCACACAGCCCCUACUCUCUCUCUCUCUCUCUCUUACUAUUGGUGCCUCUGCAUUGCAUGCAUGUGAGGGAUGCAACUCAGCCACACGCUCUCCUUUGUUGGACGGCCUACAGUGAACCACGUCAGUCAAAGGAAUAAUCAGGGCCGUCUGUCAAAAUCCUUUUUUUUUUUUGAACCAUGAAAAUGCAAUGCGUGUGGUCCUGAAUCUAUAGCAUUAUAAAUUUAUGAGAGCUUUUGGAUAUACAGUAUAGUUGAGAACUUGGAUGGUAAAAGCCAGGUAUCUGAACUCUGCUGCUUCACCUGAUACAUAAUAUUCAGUUAACAUCUACACAUACACAUACAUGCAGCAUGAUGCAAUUACUAUCUUUUAUCUUUCAGACUUGAGGGUACAUUUUUUUUCUUUCUUUUUUAACAUAAUGAUGGCUAGUAGGAGCGUGAUCGAUCGAUGCAUUAUCGAUAUUACCAGCUGUGAACACAAAAUAGCGACUAUACACCACGUUUUGUAAAUUUGUAACCGAUACUAGACACAUUUCCCUUUUGAAAGGUAACUACUCUUCUACUACAUAUGGGGUCACUUCUUAAUCAAUUCAUGCAGGGCAGCCAAGGAGGGUCGUUUUUCCUUGAGCGGAUUUAUUAAUUUUUAUUUUUAUUUUUAUAAAUAAAAAAAAUCUCAUAAGAGGGAAAAUAGUAUAAAAAGAUGAUGGACGAGGGAGGGAGGGACAAAAUGAACAGUGAAGAAGAGUCCAUGACGUAUGGGCCUGCAACCAGUGUAAAAGCCUGAGGGAACAAUACAAAAAACGAUUGCGGGGUCCAUAGAUAAGUUUGCAAAAGAAGAAAGGACCACCAUGGUUCUACUUCUGUUGGCAUUUUUCUCCACACUCUCAACUUGAUCCCAAGUGGAUAUUCCUACCAUUAAUGCUCUAGAGAAGGCCUUCAAUAAUUCAAUUUUGACAAUGAACAUUCUCACAAGUUUGGUUUUGCCACUUAGCCUUGGAGGUAUAUGUUGGCACUUGUGACCCGCAUUUAUUUUCUUUACAUAUUAAGGAUUCUUAUAUUAAAUAUAAUUGAUUUAUUUUAAUUCAUGAUUUUUAACUAUAAAUAGAAUUAGGAGUUAUUAUUUUUCUUGACUGAUAAGGAUUUAGUGUAUUAUAAAUACUAGCCUUUUCGUACGCGCUUCUGCACAUGCAAGAGGCUUUUUUUAAAUAAAUUUAAAUUUAUUUUAGAAUUAAAAAAGAUAAUGGAUAAUUGUGUUCCAUAAAAAUAGGAUUCAUUAUCUGAUUUUUCUUUUAAUUUUAAUUUUUUUAAAUAUGAAAAAGUGUGAAUUUAUCAUAUUAUCCUCAUUUAAUUAAUAAUUUCAAUUCUAAUGUUUGCAUACCAAAUGCAUUUUCUGGCAUUUUGAAUGUUUCACCAUUCUUUGCAUUUUGCUUUAUAUAUAUAGAUACCUCCUAUAAGGAGGAGAGUACACAGAAAAUUUCCACAAACAAUAUUCUCUCAUAGGUUUUCAUAUUUUAGCAUGGUAUCAGAGUAGCGAUCUUGAAAAAUAAGACGAACCUGAACACACUGAAGACCCCCCUCUCAUUCAACAGUACCAAACAACCAAUCUCCUGAUAAUAUCUUUGAGAUAAAUAUCCUUACAACUCCUUUGAAUUUAGUUGAUGAUUCUAUUGGAUACCAAUUACCUUUCACGCAGAACCAUGGAAAACCACCGAAUCAGUAUUCUUCUGAUAUUAGGAAGACGUCAAAGUACCCAAUUGCCAAUCAUGUGUCCACUCAAAGACUUCCUGAACCACUGAAGGCAUUUUUGCAUCAGUUAUCUGCUAUUGCCAUUCCUACUAAGGUGACUGAAGCAUUGAAAGAUCCGAAGUGGACCUAAGCAAUGAAUGAAGAAAUGAAGGCUCUAGAGAAAAAUCAGACGUGGACACUGGAGAUAUUACCCCCAGGAAAAAGAACAGUUGGAUGCAGAUGGGUGUUUACUGCCACACACAAUACUGAUGGGUUCAUUGAACAAUACAAGGCCAGACUUGUGGCAAAAGGGUACACACAGACCUAUGACAUCGAUUAUGAAGAAACUUUUGCCCAUGUAGCAAAGCUUAACAUAGUUAGAGUGCUACUAUCUCUUGCAGCUAACCUGGAUUGGUCACUCCAUCAAUUUUAUGUAAAAAAUAUUUUCUUGCAUGGUGAACUCACAGAAGAAGUUUACAUGGGCGUUCCACCGGGAUAUACAACAUCUACUCAGACUAGUAUGGCAUGCAACUUGUGAUAAGCACUAUAUGGCUUGAAACAGUCACCACGUGCAUGGUUCAGAUGAUUCACUUUGACAAUGAGAAAUUAUAGGUUCAAGCAGAGCAAUUCAGAUUAUACUCUAUUCUUGAAACAUUAGAAAGGAAAGGUAACAGGUUUAAUAAUUUAUUUUGAUGAUAUAAUUAUUACUGGGAUGAUGAACAUGAAAUAUCUCGGCUGCAAAACUAUUUAGCUAUUGAAUUUGAGAUGAAGAAUCUAGGUGGACUCAAGUAUUUCUUGGAAUUGAGGUGGCCCAAUUAAAGCACGGCAUAUUUCUAUCUCAAAAGAAAUAUGUCUUGGACUUGUUGACAGACACAUGAAUGUUAGACUGCAAACAUGUAGACACUCUUAGUGUUCAUAAUUAUCAUCUUAGAGAAUACUCGGGUCAAGUUCCAACUAACAAGAAAAAACACCAAAGGUUAGUGGGAAAAUUGAUCUGUCACAUACUCGACCAGACAUUGCUUAUACAGUGCAUUAUCUAAGUGAAGACUACAUGAAUGCAGUUCUCCGAAUACUUAGAUAUUUGAAGUCUGCACCCGGAAAAGGACUUAUGUUCUCAAAACAUGGUCAUUUGAAUAUUGAUGGUUACACAAGUCUUUUUCCGGGUGCAGACUUCAAAUAUCUAUUGCACAUAAUCUAGUUCAACAUGAUCGCACCAAACAUGUUGAGGUAGAUUGACACUAUAUCAAACAGAAGCUCGAAGCUAAAGUGAUUCAAUAUCCUCUAGUAAAGUCCGAGGACCAAUUGGCGGAUAUUUUGACAAAAGAAAUUUCCAGUAGAGCGUUCCACAAUUCACUGGACAAGUUGUGUAUUGGCGACAUCUAUGCACCAACUUGAGGGAGAGUGUUGGCAUGACUUGUGGAUCCGCAUUUACUUUCCGUACACACCAAGGAUUCCUAUAUUAAAUGUAAUUGAUUUACUUUAAUUCAUGAUUUCCUACUACAUAUAGAAUUAAGAGUUAUUACUUUCCUUGACCUACAAAGAUUUAUUGUAUUAUAAAUAUGACCUCCUACAAGGAGAAAAAUACACAGAAAAUUUCCACAAAUAAUAUUCUCUCAUAGGUUUUUAUAUUCUAGCAGUAUAUCAAGUCGAGAACAGUUCUGCUCACCACUCUUAAAUGUUGAUGAGCACUUCCACCACGCUAAUUGUCAUUGGAUGAAUGUGAUUUAAUCUACAUGCUAUACGAAUUUCAAAAAUUAAACUCAUUUAACGGCCAUUUAGGUUGGAUUGAUGAAUAAUUGUAUUUGAGUUCAUUUUGAGAUCUUUUAGGUUGGAAAUGGUCUGCCAAUGGGGUUUAACCAGUAGAAAUAAGUAUUGACUUACAUGACACUGCGAUAGUUUGCGUAUGUGAGAAAUUUUUAUUCUCUUAUAAUUCAUACUAUAGCUAGUAUUAAACAAAAAUAAAAAACAAAACAAAACAAAAGGUUGGAGAUGGCAUUACAGCUUCAAAACCACUCUCACCCCAAUACCACCAACGAAAGCAUUGUUCUGAAAAAAGUUAUGGUACUAGUUAAUUAGAACUACAAUUUUCAUUUGAAGGUCCACUUAAUGCCUCUUUCUUUGUACUUUUGUAGCAAAGUUGAAAAAGCUGAUCUUUCUGACCAGUACUGAAUAAUGUAAAAUAAUUAUCAAACAUUGCAUGCAACUUUACAUGAGAAAAACAUGUUGGAGGUGCAUUUUUUUAAAAUCCGAAGAGCACCCACUAUCCAAUCCAAUUUCUUCGUGGCCUCAAAAGUAGUCAAAAGGCUUAGCUUCGGCCUCAUCGCAAAAUGAACCAAAUAAUCAGAAUUUUUGACUUUUUUGAGAUUCUAAUCUAGUGAUUUUGGCAUGAAAUCCAAGGAAAUUUCCAAAGUUUUCUCCAACUUGGCUGGUCUUUUUUGAACUGUUACCAACACAAAUGGUUUAGGAUAAGCUCCAAAAUUAAAAUUAUCCUUAGCUGUGACAUCAAGCAAACUGUUUACAGUAUAAAUCACCCACCAAAAAUGUAUGGAAAUGUGUCUUAACACCAGCCACUUAUUAGGUUAUUCAUCAAAGACAAACUACUUGACUACUUGAUUAAGCUAAUGAGUGACAAUCAAGGGUUUUUGGCAUCUACCUUGAACUAAAUCUUGUGGCACUUUGGCCAACCAACCAGCAAUAAAGGGCCAACGUGCCAAAAACCAUCCUCCAAAGAUUAGAUAAGGUUUGCAUUUGCGGCCAAAAAAAAUGGAUUUGAUUCUAUGAGAUUAGAUUAUCAACUCCAAUAAAUGAUAAUGUUGAAGGCAUGUUUGGGUUCCGUUUUUUUAUUUUCAUUGCGUUAGAAAGGAAAGAACGAAGAUGAGAGUAAAGGAAGGAUUGUGAGAAGGAUGAAGAUGGGUGGAGAAAAGGUGAUGGGAGGAAGACGGAAGAAAUGUGUAUGGAAUGUUACAUAAAAUGAAAAUAAAAAAACUACAAGCUACAAACAAUUUUAAGUUGUUUUUUAUAAUUAUCCUCAUUCAUCUGUCCUUCAUCUUUUUCAUGGCCUCUUCUUCGUUUUUUUCCAUCUCUUUUUUCAUUCAUAUAUUUUUUCUCUAUUUUAAAAAAAAAAAGAUUAAAAAAAAUGAAUAAAUUACCAAACUAGCUUCGAUUAAUUUCAAUGCGAAUUCGCUUCAUGAAACGGUCUUGGUACGUAACAUGUUCAUUGGUAAGUACCCUUAACUCAGCAAGGCAUCAUAAUUUGAAGAAAGCAACAGCCAACAAACAAGAAGAAGAAAAAGAGUUGUAUAUCAACAACAACAGAGAAAUCAGAACAAUAUAUAAUCAAUUUUGUCGACACUUGCAACAGUAUCACAUCGGAUGCUGACAUCUUGAUCAAUUUGCUGCCCUUAGAUUAAGCUCCAAACUAAAAUUCGUAGCUAUUCAAUCAAACCUAAACCACCCUUCUGAGCCUUACCAUAGUCAAGGCUAGGGGAAACCCAAAAUGAGGAAGAGAGAAUAGGGGGAUAAGGGAAGGGAGGAUUUUAUGGAUCGAUUCAUUAAUUAGGAUGGUGACAUUUGUUAAAAAGUGACUACUAGAAGGAGGAGACAGAUUAUGACCCAAAAAAUAAGGAGUAGAGAAACAAAAAUGAUGACACACUUUUGAGUCAUGCUUACAUAUAUAAAACUACCUAUUUAUUUAUUUAUUAGUACAAGCGAUUGAGAUGGGAGGUUUACACAAAUAUUUAUAAGUGUUUAGGAAUUUCGAAUUUCUGCUCAUAUAAUUGGAGGUGGAAGACUUCAACCAACUAAGAUAUAUCUCAUUAACAACUACCUAUUUAUUUUGUGAUAUUUUUUUGCCAAUCUUGUAAGGGAUCACACACACACACUAUAAGGGUGUCAUAGAGGGGUGCGAACCUAAGACUACUGGUCUACAAGUCAAUGCCAUUUUUAACUCAGGUAAACUUCGUUGACAAAUUUUAAGUUCAUAUCCCGACCCUCAUUCAUAGGAAAUAUGAAUGUUUCCUAUGUCCAAAUUCCACACUUUAAUCUCUGCGAUUUAGAUAGUCUAUUUUGAUUGCAUUGGGAGGAAUUCAAAUGAAUUCCAUAGCUUAUUGCAUACACUUUCUCUUUCUGGGCAUCUUCAGGUAUGGCUUUUUUGGGCACAUACAUAUAUAUAUAUAUAUAUACAUAUAUAUAUAUAUGUGUGCACCUUUCAAUUUAGUUGAAAUAAGCCUUUGGGUUUUUGGUAAUGCAAGUUUCUGAGAUUUUCUCCUUCCAGUUUUCCUCCAAUUCACUUUAAAUUUGUCACUGACAAGUUGCAUAAUCCUUCCAGUUUUGGUAUUAUGCUCAUUAUAUAUAGUUCUCUAUUUAAAGCUAAAACACUGUUCCAGUUGGGUUUUCUAACUUUUCUUUUCCUCUUUCCAGGUAUGGAAAGAAUGUGUGAUGUCCCCUGUAUCUGAGGCAGUUGUCUUUUAGAAUCUAAGAAGAGAAAGAGUGAAAGAGUUUUGAGCUUUAAUUUAUAAUGCCAGUUCCACUUGCCCCAUAUCCAACUCCUCCAGCACCAUACACACCACCUGCAAAUGCUAUCAUUACUCAAAAUCUGUCUUCAUCUUAUUUGGCUUGAAAACAAUGUGAAUUUGCUCUCUAUUUUUCCUGCUGAGAAAAUAAGGGAUUGGUUGAGAAUU